rnacentral:rRNA from 1 species
UACAGAGGGUGCAAGCGUUGUUCGGAAUCAUUGGGCGUAAAGGGCGUGUAGGCGGUUUGUUAAGUCAUGUGUGAAAUCCCUCGGCUCAACCGAGGAACCGCAUUCGAUACUGCCGGGCUAGAGUCCGGGAGGGGAUGGUGGAAUUCCCAGUGUAGCGGUGAAAUGCGUAGAUAUUGGGAAGAACACCGGUGGCGAAGGCGGCCAUCUGGACCGGAACUGACGCUGAGGCGCGAAAGCUAGGGGAGCGAAUGGG